GAUGAACGCUGGCGGCGUGCCUAAUACAUGCAAGUCGAGCGAACAGACGAGGAGCUUGCUCCUUCGACGUUAGCGGCGGACGGGUGAGUAACACGUAGGUAACCUACCUAUAAGACUGGGAUAACUUCGGGAAACCGGAGCUAAUACCGGACAAUAUUUCGAACCGCAUGGUUCGAUAGUGAAAGAUGGCUUUGCUAUCACUUAUAGAUGGACCUGCGCCGUAUUAGCUAGUUGGUAAGGUAACGGCUUACCAAGGCAACGAUACGUAGCCGACCUGAGAGGGUGAUCGGCCACACUGGAACUGAGACACGGUCCAGACUCCUACGGGAGGCAGCAGUAGGGAAUCUUCCGCAAUGGGCGAAAGCCUGACGGAGCAACGCCGCGUGAGUGAUGAAGGUCUUCGGAUCGUAAAACUCUGUUAUUAGGGAAGAACAAACGUGUAAGUAACUGUGCACGUCUUGACGGUACCUAAUCAGAAAGCCACGGCUAACUACGUG
rnacentral:rRNA from 1 species